rnacentral:lncRNA from 1 species
AAACCCCAUCUUUAAAUACCAUCAUAGUGCAGAUUAGGAUUUCAGCAUAUGAAUUUGGGGAGGGGGACACACAUAUUCAGUCCACAGCAACCGCCCUACUGACUGCAUGGCUGGGAUGUCAGACGCAGCCGUGAGCCAUCUGGAACCGCGCCAGCGAGGGCAGUCCCUCAGGAUGGAGAAACAACAAGGUAGAAGGAUACUGGACCUGAGAAAGCCAUAUACUUUGAUCCUGUUUGAGCCCCAGGCCUUGUCUCAUAUUCUAAUCCUCUUCCUAAUUUCAUUGCUGUUAGCAGCAGAGUAGUAGCGACCAUUUCCGGUGUGCGAAGCAGGAGCACCUAAGACCUGAGCACCUGCAGUUCUGAUGCAUAUACAAGAUCGAAGGAACCGACAGGCCCUGAAUCACCUCCGAAGCCCGGGAAAGGUACCGUCAUUCUUCCUGUCCUCGCCAUCCAGUUCCUGGGCCGGGCGGAGGCAUGGACGCCAACCGCUGGAUCACGGCCACCCUCAGACAAAAGGCACAGGCUCCAGAGCCACCUGCCCCACACCGCCCUCCCGGGGAAUACCCCCCCCACCCCGGCCCUCGUGGAGAGGGUGUAAGGUCCCUCGACCCCGUGGUCAGCGGGGAACCCUGGCCCCAAAGGACUUUCCAGAGGGGCCUUUAAUUGCAGCAUGGCAUGAAGAGGUAAGUGAAGUCAAUCAGAUGACUCCCCUAGGAUUUGGAACCGCCAAGCAGAGUCAUGACAGUCGAAAGUGGGCCCUGGGCUGGGAGGUAGUCGACGCCUGGACCAGGCAUCGAGGGUGGAGAGGAAGCGGGUGGGGGGUGCACACGUGUGUGCAAGAGAGGGAAGCUGUGUCUAGAACGAUGCUGUCCAACUUGGCAGCCAUAUAGGGCUUUUCUAUUCUACUCACAUGAUAAUUUUGAUAGAUUCAUUGGAUUUGUUUAGGUUAAUUUAUAUAAAUAGCAUCAGUAAUUUACAAUUUACUCCCUCAGCGGCCCUGCAGAGAUCUAGACCACUCCCGUGGUCACAGCUAAUUCUAUCGGCCGACACCGGUCUGAGAGGCCCACUGGGAUAGAGUGCGAAGUCUUAGUUCCCCGUUUGCAAUCUCUGAUUCCAACCCACGAGCCUCAACUCUGCCUCCUGCCCCAUGUUUCACAAGGUAAUUUGUAUCCCUAGAAUUGGCACCUCCUACUCUCCUGUAGCACCACUAUCUUUCUUUCAAGCCAGCUUUUAGUCCUCAUCUUACUUUUUAUAUUCAAAAGAAUCUUAACAACAACAACAAAAAAAGAAUCUCAACUAGGGGCGUCCGCCUUUGGCUCAGGUCGUGGUCCCGGGUCCCGGGAUCGAGUCCCGCAUCUGACUCCCCGCGAGGAGCCUGCUUCUCCCUCUGUGUCUCUCGUGAAUAAAUAAAUAAAAUCUUAAAAAAAUAAAUAAAGA